CAGUCACUACCCCUGAGCUGCUGUCCCCUGUGUUUGAGGAGCUGAGCCCUGUCUUGGAAGCUGUAUUGGCCCAGGGCCACCCAGGGGUAGUCAUUGCCCUGGUGGGGGCCUGUCGCAGAGUUGGGGCCUACCAAGCCAAGGUCCUACAGCUCUUGUUGGAGGCAUUCCACUGUGCAGAGCCCUCAUCCCGGCAAGUGGCCUGUGUGCCUCUCUUUGCCACUUUGAUGGCUUAUGAGGUGUACUAUGGACUGACGGAGGAGGAGGGGGCAGUGCCUGCAGAGCACCAGGGUUAGCACUCCAUUCAGCAGUAGGGUCUCCAAUGCCUGCCCAAUGGCAAGAAGCAAGAAGGGCAGGUCUUAUCCCAUGCCCCUUCCCUCUUUAGCUGCCCAACAUCCAUCAGUUGGCUCUAGACAUUGGUCGAUGUCCCACUUUGACUUUCCGGCACUUUGAUACCU
rnacentral:lncRNA from 1 species